rnacentral:lncRNA from 1 species
GUGGCUCAUGCCUGUAAUUCCCAUGCUUUGGAAGGUUGAAGUGGGAGAACUGUUUGAGUCCAGGAAUUUGAGGCUGCAAUGAGCUCUGAUCACACCACUGCACUCUAUUAGGGUGAGAACCUGUCUCAAAAAUAAAAACAAAAAAGAAGCAAUAUUAAAAACAUAAAAAUGUAUUAAGCUUAAAUAGCAAAAUAUUUGACAUGUUAUUCUUCAAGAAUAAACAUCAGUUUCUUAUAGUUUUGUGUCUUUUCACUAAAAGCUAUAAAAUUAUGCAGUGGUAAAGAUAAAAGAUAACAAAUUGAUUUAUGUUUUAGAGACAGGUUCUUGCUUUGUUGCCUAGGCUGGAGUGCAGUGGCAAUUCAUAGGCACAAUCAUAGCUAACUGCAGCCUCACACUUCUGUGCUCAGGGGACUCUCCUGCCUCAGCCUCUGGAGUAGCUAAGAUUACAGGUGUACACCAACAUACCUGACAUAUGUGAUUCUUUAAUUAAUGAUGACUAUGCUUUCAAUAAAGACUUCUAUUAGGGAGAAUUUGAUUAUCCAUGUCUUAGUCCAUUUUGUGCUGCUAUAACAGAAUACCAAAAACUGAGUAACUUUUAAUGAAAAUAAAUUUAUUUCUUACAGUUCUAGAAGGUGUGAAGUCCAAGGUCAAGGCACUAGAAGAUUUGCUCUCCUGUUCCAAGAUGGUGCCUUGUUACUAUAGCCACCAGAGAGGAGGAAUGGCUGAAUCCUCACUUGGCCAAAAAGCAGAAGAGAGGGAAUCCACUCCUGCCAGCCCUUUUCAUGAACCUGUUGCUGGAUAGCUAUCUUGGACCAGAAGGA